rnacentral:tRNA from 1 species
UGGCUUAGUUGGUUAAAGCACCGGACUAGCAAUACGGAGUCGUGAGUUUGAUUCCCAC